UACGUAGGGGGCAAGCGUUGUCCGGAUUUAUUGGGCGUAAAGAGCGUGUAGGCGCCAGACAGGUCCGUUGUGAAAACUCGAGGCUCAACCUCGAGAUGUCGAUGGAAACCGUCUGGCUAGAGUCCGGAAGAGGAGUGUGGAAUUCCUGGUGUAGCGGUGAAAUGCGCAGAUAUCAGGAAGAACACCUAUGGCGAAGGCAGCACUCUGGGGACGGUACUGACGCUGAGACGCGAAAAGCGUGGGGGAGCGAACAGG
rnacentral:rRNA from 1 species